CCUACGGGCGGCUGCAGUGAGGAAUAUUGGUCAAUGGACGAGAGUCUGAACCAGCCAAGUAGCGUGAAGGAUGACUGCCCUAUGGGUUGUAAACUUCUUUUAUAUGGGAAUAAAACGUUCCACGUGUGGGAUUUUGUAUGUACCAUAUGAAUAAGGAUCGGCUAACUCCGUGCCAGCAGCCGCGGUAAUACGGAGGAUCCGAGCGUUAUCCGGAUUUAUUGGGUUUAAAGGGAGCGUAGGUGGAUUGUUAAGUCAGUUGUGAAAGUUUGCGGCUCAACCGUAAAAUUGCAGUUGAAACUGGCAGUCUUGAGUACAGUAGAGGUGGGCGGAAUUCGUGGUGUAGCGGUGAAAUGCUUAGAUAUCACGAAGAACUCCGAUUGCGAAGGCAGUUCACUGGACUGCAACUGACACUGAGGCUCGAAAGUGUGGGUAUCAAACAGGAUUAGAUACCCGGGUAGCC
rnacentral:rRNA from 1 species